rnacentral:lncRNA from 1 species
UCCGCCUCCUCACUCUUUCCUCUUCUGCAGCCACUUUCCCUCCUCCCCUCCUCUGCCUCCCUUGUCCCUCUUCUCAUCCCACUGGCUGAUUGUGACCUUUGGUCUUCUCUUCCAGGAAACUGCCUCCUUGUGGGAAAGGGCUCAGGCCCUGGUAUGUGGGAGAGAGGGAAACAGAAACCCGAAGACCCAAAGGCAGAGAGCAAGAGUAAGCAGUGCCAAAACAUCUGCAGAAAGAGACGUGGACCCAGAAAGAACACCAAGAAGCAGAAAUAUCUGAUUGAUUCCCAAAACAGUAAAACCUGCAACCUGCGCUGGGGUGUCACCAGUGGGAGAGCUCCUGAACAAAGCCCUGGGUUCAGUCCCAGCACCAGCCAAACAAAACGAAAACCUCAGCUAACAAAACGACACCUACCACCAGUGAUCAGGACUCAGGCCAGACACCUGGGACCUGGGAAUCCCUUGUCACCUUUCUCAAACCCAUACUGCAGCCCGAAACAAUUCAUCGACCAGCUCCACCCUCCCCCAGGACUAUCUCCCCCUGGUCCUAUCUAGCAUCCCCCACUUGAGCCUUCACAGCAGCUUCCUCAAUCUCUCUGUUCCAGCCUGUCCUUUCUCUUUUCUCCACUCCCCCGGGGGACAAACAAGGGAAGCCUGUUAGGACACCUGAUCACAAAAAGUCAAAAGUCCUAAGUCCUCUAUGCAUCCUACACAACCUGGCUCCCAUCUGCUGCCCUCCCCCUGCUCAUGUGACCUCAGUCACUGCUUUCCUAGCUGCUCCACCAGCACAUCUGGCCCGUUACAGCCACAGGGCCUUUAUGCUGGCUGUAAAGGCUGUCCUGUCCCUCUGCCUGCAUGACACCCUGGUGUCCUCAAAGCUUACUCCCCUCCUUUGGGUCUUUGCUCAGAUGAGAUUAUCCCGGACUGGUUCUAUUACAACCCAGACCCCCU